UGGCUAAAAAACUUAAAACCAGAAGCAAUGUUGUAACAAAUCCAAUAAAGAUUAAAAAAAAAAAAACGGCAGGAGGAAAACUUUGUCCUUUCUUCCAUGGUCUGUCUCCACCUUCCAUGGUAUUUUCCAUUUGCUGUUUAAUGAGGGUACUUCUUCAGACGGGAGGUAGGGGUGGCACAGAUGUCUCUGGGAGUACAGACCAUCCCCUACUAGGGGCCUGGGAACCCUUUGACUUUGAGAGGGGCGUGAGUGUGUGUCCCCAACCCUGACUCUCCUCCCACCUGGGACCAGGCCCCACUGGUGGUAGAGGGUAUCAGUUGUCCUUGGACAGGGGCAGAGAAGGGGAUCUGGGUCCCCCAGGGCACCAGGACACCAGGCAGUAGGCAGCCAAGGACCCACAGGAAGUGGACCAGAAGAUCAUGUGUGCGACUCCAAGCCCCUGACACGCGCUUCAUCAUCCCACUGAACUUCAUUCACAAACCACAAGAUCAAGGAUAAAAUUAGUAAGUUCAAGACCACAGUCACAGAGCAUGAAACCCUGCGCGCAUGGUCUCCUCUGAGCAUCGGAGCCAGUGUGUCUGAUCCUCACAUAUUCAGGCCAGAGAAUCUCGGUCCUAAGUGACAGUUCUAUCAGCCCGUCUUACAGAUGAAGAAAUUGACACUCAGAAAAGGGAGGGAACUGCUUCCCGACACAUCAUGUGUCAGCAGCAAGGCCAGCAUUUCAAUCGAGGGGAUCUUCCUGACCCAGGGCAAACCCUUGUCUCCUGCACUGGCAGAUAGAUGCUUUACCACUAAGCCACAAGCACCUGCUGUGCAUUCUGACAACCAGCCCUCCUGCUAUUGCCAUCUUGAGUUACAGAUUCAGAAAGAGGGACCCACACUGGAAGCAGAAGUCUGGAGGUGAGAAAGCCCUUGGCUGCUUCUAGCCUAGUGUUUCCCUAUUAGACUUGUCUGCUUGUUAAAUACAGAUUCCUGGGCUCCCUCCACCCCCAUCCUGACUCCACGACUCAUACGUUUUGAAUCAGAAUCCACAGGGCAGGAGCCAAUGAACCUGGAUUUUUACCUGGUGCCUCGGGGCACUAUUGUGACCAGCAAGUUUGGGAAAGCUGGACUGAGCUGCAGUAAGUGGCUGAUGGGGUUUUGAAUUCAUCAAGACUUUGAAUCUUAACACAAAAGCCUUCGGUUUUUUUCUUUUAGAAGAGAGGCCACAAAUUCUUUUUAAAACGUGAUGAAACAAGCCUUUUCUGAGAAAAUGCUUCUCCCUGACACACAACAUUUGAACACAUUUUCAGGAACCCAGGAGUCUGCUCUUUGGAACCCAGUGGGAGAAGCUUGAGGGCAGUAAUUGCAAUCAAGAGAGACCCUGGAUAACAUCCAAGGCAGUUCUCAUAGCAGUGCAGAGAUGAUGGCAAAGGGCUCCAGGUAGGAAGUCUAGUCAGUGGGUAAAUAAGGAUGGAGAACGAAGGGUGUAGAUGAAAGUCAGAAUGAGGUUUCCAGGGCACGUGACCAAGAACUAGGCAAGAGCCUGGAGGGGGCAGAAUUCAAAGGGAGGGAGGUUCACCUUGGAGAGCCCUGCAAAGAGGGACAUGGGGGAGGAGGUUCCUUGUCGUGUCCAGUUUACAAGGAGUGGAAGGAUUUCAAGGAAUCAGGCACUGCUUCAAGGAAUUUCAAGGAAUCAGUGGACAUUCAAGUAGAAGUUUAGAAGGGGGCCCAGGCUAAGAAAGCCAAAGCUGUGGUUUUUCCAGGAGUCACGUACGGAUGUGAGAGUUGGAUC